GACGAACGCUGGCGGCGUGCUUAACACAUGCAAGUCGAGCGGUAAGGCCCUUUCGGGGUACGACGAGCGGCGAACGGGUGGAGUAACACGUGGGUGGACCUCGCCCUCCAGCUCUGGGAGUAAGCCCGGGAAACGUGGGUCUAAUACCGGAUAUGACUUCAUGACGCAUGUUGUGGAGUGGAAAGCCUUGUGCGGCUGAGGAUGGGCCCGCGGCCUAUCAGCUUGUUGGUGGGGGGA
rnacentral:rRNA from 1 species